UGAGGAAUAUUGGUCAAUGGGCGAGAGCCUGAACCAGCCACGUCGCGUGAAGGAAGACUGACCUUACGGUUUGUAAACUUCUUUUGUAGAGGGGUAAUGGCAGAUACGUGUAUUUGCGUGAAAGUACUCUACGAAUAAGCAUCGGCUAACUCCGUGCCAGCAGCCGCGAUAAUACGGGGGAUGCGAGCGUUAUCCGGAAUUAUUGGGCUUAAAGGGCAUCUAGGCGGUAAGACAAGUUGAAGGUGAAAACCUGUGGCUCAACCAUAGGCUUGCCUACAAAACUGUUGAACUAGAGUACUGGAAAGGUGGGUGGAACUACACGAGUAGAGGUGAAAUUCGUAGAUAUGUGUAGGAAUGCCGAUGAUGAAGAUAACUCACUGGACAGAAACUGACGCUGAAGUGCGAAAGCUAGGGGAGCAAACAGG
rnacentral:rRNA from 1 species